rnacentral:rRNA from 2 species
GUUGUGAGGUUAAGCGACUAAGCGUACACGGUGGAUGCCCUGGCAGUCAGAGGCGAUGAAGGACGUGCUAAUCUGCGAUAAGCGUCGGUAAGGUGAUAUGAACCGUUAUAACCGGCGAUUUCCGAAUGGGGAAACCCAGUGUGAUUCGUCACACUAUCAUUAACUGAAUCCAUAGGUUAAUGAGGCGAACCGGGGGAACUGAAACAUCUAAGUACCCCGAGGAAAAGAAAUCAACCGAGAUUCCCCCAGUAGCGGCGAGCGAACGGGGAGCAGCCCAGAGCCUGAAUCAGUGUGUGUGUUAGUGGAAGCGUCUGGAAAGGCGUGCGAUACAGGGUGACAGCCCCGUACACAAAAAUGCACAUACUGUGAGCUCGAUGAGUAGGGCGGGACACGUGGUAUCCUGUCUGAAUAUGGGGGGACCAUCCUCCAAGGCUAAAUACUCCUGACUGACCGAUAGUGAACCAGUACCGUGAGGGAAAGGCGAAAAGAACCCCGGCGAGGGGAGUGAAAAAGAACCUGAAACCGUGUACGUACAAGCAGUGGGAGCACGCUUAGGCGUGUGACUGCGUACCUUUUGUAUAAUGGGUCAGCGACUUAUAUUCUGUAGCAAGGUUAACCGAAUAGGGGAGCCGAAGGGAAACCGAGUCUUAACUGGGCGUUAAGUUGCAGGGUAUAGACCCGAAACCCGGUGAUCUAGCCAUGGGCAGGUUGAAGGUUGGGUAACACUAACUGGAGGACCGAACCGACUAAUGUUGAAAAAUUAGCGGAUGACUUGUGGCUGGGGGUGAAAGGCCAAUCAAACCGGGAGAUAGCUGGUUCUCCCCGAAAGCUAUUUAGGUAGCGCCUCGUGAAUUCAUCUCCGGGGGUAGAGCACUGUUUCGGCAAGGGGGUCAUCCCGACUUACCAACCCGAUGCAAACU